rnacentral:rRNA from 1 species
UACGUAGGGGCCUAGCGUUGUCCGGAUUUAUUGGGCGUAAAGAGCUCGUAGGCGGUCUGUCGCGUCUGCUGUGAAAACUCAGGGCUUAACCCUGAGCUUGCAGUGGGUACGGGCAGACUAGAGUGCGGUAGGGGAGACUGGAAUUCCUGGUGUAGCGGUGAAAUGCGCAGAUAUCAGGAGGAACACCGGUGGCGAAGGCGGCAUCCUGGACCGGCAUUG